GCGUCGGUAGUGCAACGGUUAGCAUAAGCUCUCGGAAAGAGUGAGAUCUGGGUUCGAAUCCCCGCUAACGCA